GAUCGUUUGCCAAACUGCGGUACUGCAUGUGAACGUAAACGUAUAAAGAUGCAGUUGCUUCACGUUCAGUUGUUUACAGUUUUAUUAACAUGGCUUGAAGGAUGCUAUGGAGAAACACAAGAUGACAAUCCAGAAACAGGACAAGGCCCUAUUGAUGUUCUUAAAAAUCAAGAUGUUGGUCUGAGUAUUGGAGUGAUGUCAGCUCUGGUCAUCUUUCUAAUUGGAUUAUCAAUCUUCGUUUAUCGCCCAACAAGAAAAAAUCACCAGCAAGUUCCUCCAAUCAAUCAUAACGCUGUGUUAUAGAAAUGCUGGCCAAAAAAAGACUGGAGAAAUAUUCUGUACAUAAUAAUAAUAUGAUAGGAAAAAUUUAGCAGAAAACCCUACAAGAAGUGAAAUGUAGAGUUGGCCUUGUUUGUCUGCAAGAAGUUUUAAUUUUAAAAUAAAUCUUUGCAGUGGAUGGUGAGAAUGUGUUGAUUAUCAAAACAAGUGACCGUGACAUAAAGGAGAUGUUAGACCUCAAGCCUGGUUCAUACUUUCUGCAAAUGCUAAGUAAUGCAAUAAAAAUGUUGACGUCACAGCCCUGUUUUCCCUGCAAGAGUACUUCACAUUUCAUUCGGUGCGAAUUUGUGAUGUCAACUUUGUAUCUGAUUCACACAUAGAGUUAUAUAUAAACUGUAUGGAUUCACAUGAAGUAUGACAGGGCUUCAGAGAAGUUGAAAUUGCUGUUGGCAAACA